rnacentral:tRNA from 1 species
GCAGUGGUGGCUUAGUGGUAGAGUUCUCACCUUCCAUGUGGGAGACCAGGGUUGAAUUCUUGGCCAACGCA